rnacentral:misc_RNA from 1 species
AUGCCGAUGUCUACUGCCAUCAAAAUGCUUCCAAGCACAUUUCUUCUUGUCAUGCUUUGUGUUGCAUCUUCCGCUGAAGAAUUGAAGGCUGGCGGUGACAUGGACGCGAAGAUGAAAGAAAUGCAGGAACAAUCGAAGAAAUCAAUGGAGGAGAUGAGUAAGGGGUUCGGGGUGAAAAUCGAGUUGAAUGAGAAGACCACUCCCACAAUGGUGGAACAACACGUCAAAGAUUUUCGAGACAACAUUAAAAGUGUAUUCAAGCUCACUAAUGUGCAAAACUUGACUAUCGAUGAAUCGCUCAGAGCGAAAUCAGAUAAGAUGUCAUGCGAGGACCGCGGAAACUUUUACUUAACCAACUCAAAAAAACAUGCUUCUGAGUUGCAAAAAUUCUUGCUUUGUUUGGUAUGGACUUUGACAAAAUGGACGAAAAAGAGAGAGCUUAUAUGUUUAAUUGUUUUCACUGGAUCAACCCGGUUCAAACUCAACUUGGGUGCUCUAUUAAGAAGUGUGCCGCUGAGUAUAUAGUUAUUUGCCUCCUUGGCCCAAAUGAAGAAAUCAAGGCUUCUGACUAUAAAUCAUCCGAUGAUUUCAAAGCGGGUAAAGCUGAAGCUGCCGAAAUCGAAGCUAAAUCGGAAGCAAAUACUUCGUUCUCCACCAUUGCUCUCUUGAUGCCCAUUCUUUCUUUCUUCUUCUUGUAA